GCGGGCAUCGUCUAAUAGCCAGGAUAUCGGUCUUCCAAACCGAGAAUGAGGGUGCGAUUCCCUCUGUCCGCUCCA
rnacentral:tRNA from 1 species